UGGACUUGGGGUUGGGCUGGGGAUGCUGCGGCUGGGCUUGGGCUGAGGCCGAGGGAUGGCGAACGUGCGGGUGGCCGUGAGGGUCCGACCUCUCAGCAAGAGGGAGACCAAAGAAGGGGGAAGAAUUAUCAUGGAAGUUGAUGGCAAAGUGGCAAAAAUCAGAAAUUUAAAGGUGGACAAUCGACCAGAUGGCUUUGGUGACUCCCGGGAGAAGGUGGUGGCAUUUGGCUUUGAUUAUUGCUACUGGUCUGUCAACCCAGAGGACCCCCAGUAUGCAUCUCAGGAUGUGGUGUUCCAAGAUUUGGGAACCGAAGUACUGUCUGGAGCUGCCAAAGGCUACAACAUAUGCCUUUUUGCCUAUGGGCAGACAGGCUCUGGGAAGACAUAUACCAUGCUGGGGACCCCAGCCUCUGUUGGGUUGACGCCACGGAUAUGUGAGGGUCUCUUCAUCAGGGAGGAAGACUAUGCCCCACUGCCUUCCUCUUGUAGGAUAAAAGUAAGUUUUCUGGAAAUCUAUAAUGAACGAGUGCGGGAUCUGCUGAAGCAAUCUGAUCAAAAAAAGUCCUACAGUCUGCGGGUCAGGGAGCACCCAGAGAUGGGGCCCUAUGUACAAGGUUUAUCUCAACAUGUAGUUACCAACUAUAAGCAAGUAAUUCAACUCUUGGAGGAGGGAAUAGCAAACAGAAUCACAGCAGCCACUCAUGUUCAUGAAGCCAGCAGCAGAUCCCAUGCCAUCUUCACUAUCUACUAUACACAGGCAAUCCUGGAGAACAACCUCCCCUCUGAAAUUGCUAGCAAGAUCAACCUUGUGGACCUAGCAGGCAGUGAAAGAGCAGAUCCCAGUUACUGUAAGGACCGGAUUACUGAAGGAGCCAAUAUCAACAAGUCUCUUGUGACUCUGGGAAUUGUCAUCUCCACUUUAGCCCAGAAUUCUCAAGCAUUCAGCAGCUGCCAGAGCCUCAACAGUGCAGCCAGUGAUGGUGGUGACAGUGGGAUCCCUAGCUCUCCUUCUGGGACAAGCAGUGGAGGGGGGCCCUCUCGGAGGCAGUCUUAUAUCCCAUACCGGGACUCCGUGUUGACCUGGCUGCUGAAGGACAGCCUUGGCGGCAACUCCAAAACUAUCAUGGUUGCCACUGUGUCUCCUGCACAUACUAGCUACAGUGAGACCAUGAGCACACUGAGAUAUGCAUCUAAUGCCAAACACAUCGUCAACAAGCCGCGGGUAAAUGAGGAUGCCAAUAUAAAACUGAUCCGAGAACUCAGGGAGGAGAUCAGAAGACUAAAAGCCAUGCUGUUGAGCUUCGAACUGAGAAACUUCAGUUCAUUGAAUGAGGAAAAGGAUGAGAAUCUGAAGGAGCUGGUUCUCCAAAAUGAAUUGAAGAUAGACCAGCUGACUAAAGACUGGACCCGGAAGUGGAAUGAGUGGAAGGCCCUCCUGGAGCAUUACAGAGUGGACAUCAACAGGAGGCGGGCUGGAGUGGUCAUUGACUCCAGUCUGCCACACCUGAUGGCCUUGGAGGAUGAUGUACUCAGCACAGGAGUCGUGCUGUAUCACCUCAAGGAGGGGACAACAAAAAUAGGAAGGAUUGACUCAGAUCAGGAACAGGACAUUGUUCUGCAGGGGCAGUGGAUUGAGAGAGACCACUGCACUAUCACGAGUGCCUGUGGGGUAGUCAUUCUGCGGCCUGCCCAAGGGGCCCGCUGCACAGUCAAUGGCCGGGAGGUCACUGCCUCCUGUCGUCUGACCCAAGGAGCAGUCAUAACGCUGGGGAAAGCACAGAAGUUCCGAUUCAACCACCCAGCAGAGGCCGCUGUCCUGCGGCAGAGAAGGCAGGUCGGAGAGGUUGUCGGUGGCAAUGGCUCUUUGGAAUGGUUGGAUUUGGAUGGAGAUGUCACUGCCUCCCGGUUGGGUCUCUGCCCUUUGCUUUGGAAGGAGAGGAAAGUGCUGGAAGAGCAGAGCGACCAGGACCGCCAGCCACUGGGGGCUGGAGAGGCGCCCCACAGGGCCCCGAUUCAGCACCAGCACUACAUGGGGGAUUUGAGGCAGCGGAUCCUAGCAGGACAGAUUAGAGCCAGACAGGAACUGGAGUUCGACCAAGCACACCUCAGCCGGCAAAUUAAAGACAGGUGUCUUUGGUUCCCAGACCAGCAGUGGCUGCUCAUAGAAGAGCCCCGGCUGGCUGGCUUACAGCAACAGCAACAGCAGCAAGACCACAUUACAGAGAAAGAAUUCGAGGCUUGUGUGCGACCUGGUGCUUGGCUCCAGACAGAUCUUGAGACUCCGCCUACCCCACUGGUCCGAAGUCAGAAGAGGGAGGUACGACUGCAGCUGGGGCGCAGGAACGUGCUUCGGGCAGCACAGAGGGACAUCCGGCGAAGAAAAGCCUCCUUCCAGCUAGAGAGAAUCCUCAAGAAGCAGAGGCUGCUGGAGGCCCAGACAGGACUGGAGCAGCCCAAGGCAUUGUGUGGGCUCCAGGAUGACCACACCCAGAAGCCCCCAUACCGGCUCCCUGGUGCUGGUGCCAUGGUCCGAGAAUCUCAACACAGAAGCAGACUGACAGAUUGCCGUUCUUUGAGCCUCCAGAGGCUCUGCAGCCAGUAUUUGCCCAGGCUACACAGUAUUUUCCUGAGUCGAGAUCCCUCCACCAUGGUACCUCCUUUGCCUGAUCCUACUGACCAAAUGUCAGAGACAAUUCCAUCAGAAGAAUAUUUGCCCCAGGCUGCUUCUUACCCUCCAAGGACAGGGCAUUUCAGCAAGAAUGCCCUCUGUUCCUCAGGCAAGGGGCAUCUCUGCAAAGCCAGGGGGGCCUUGGCAAGGAAAGGAGCCUCAGCCUCAGGCACCUGUCUCACUGUGAGUUCUGAGUCUGCCAGCAUCCAGGAAAUGGAGAGCGUGGGUAAGCAGCCCUGUUGGAUGGUGUCCCAGAGCUUAGCAUCUCUUGACCAUUCAGCUAACAAGCUAAAGCCAAAGGAUGAGCCAGAAGCACUCAGCCCUUCCACCUAUACCAGGAGGGGUAGGGGACUAGCAGACUCUGACCACACACGAUCAGGGUGGCGUAAAGAAGGGCACGUUGGGACCCACAAGACUGCUAAGGGAGCCAGAUGCAGUUCCUCACAUCCCUGUGGACCCAGACAGGCAUCUGGGCAUGGAAAGGCAGCCAAGACUUUCUGGGUAGAAUCCAAACCACCUUCUUCAAGCAAGGCAUCAAAAAGGCAGCAGAGGGUGCUGAUAGCUAGGGCCAGAGACAUUGUCAGAAAUUCCUCUUGUUUGCCUCAUGGCAGCUCUUUGAGGAGGCAGCACAGCGCAGGAGACCCAGAUUCCACAUCCUCACUCACCGAUUGCAGCCCAAGAGUGGAUCUUGUAAGAGAGAAAGAUGGUGACUUAUCUGAUGCGGAUAGCAGUUACUCAGUGGACUCUCUCUCCUAUGUCUAUGCCAAAGCCCAAAUGGAGCCACUGAAGCCAGAGGACCUCCAGGGGAAGGAACAGGAUCUCCCAGAGUCAGAGAACUCCGAAAGUGAUGACAGCCAAAUAUCUGAGGACUCGCUGGCUGAGAAAGGAUAUGAAAGCCUGCCAGACAGCUCAGGGAGCAGUUAUCUCACCAACCACCACGGCCACCCCAGGGCCAGAGCUAAAGUCCCUGUGAGGGGCUUCACCAUGUCCUCAGACAGUGAACUAUUCACCCAAACUUGCAGGAGCUUUUCCCUGGAUAGCCUUAUUGAUGCCAAGGAGGAACUGGGGGAAGAUCAGCAAGAGCCUUUCUUCAGUUCAGCUGAUGAGAUGCCCGCAGAGACAUUUUGGCACCUGCAGACCUGCAGUCUGCCCAUAGUGGACCAGGAGGCAAUGUGCAGGCUUGGUCCCAUCAACCAUAGAACAGGAACCAGGCUGGAUGCCAUCCUGCCAAUGAGCAGUUCAUUUUACCUUGGCCCCCCACCCCAGCCUCACUGUGAACAACCUGAGUCGGAGGUAGAGGUGAGCUCCUCUGAACAGGCAAACACACUCCAAGGCCUGCAGCUUUCAAGAGGGAGCCCUCUGUUGUCCAUGGAUUCCUGGUUUUCCUGUGACUCUAAGAUCAAUUCCAGCAGCCCUUCAGGAAUAGUGGGUUCCUUAUGUCCGAGUCCUGAUAUCCAGGAAUUUCAACCCCAGGGUCAGGAGAGGCCUGGACAAUGGCAAAAUAUGGAAGACCUCAAGCCAUCAAGGGCAGAAACACUCCUGCCUUAUAACUCCAAAGUACCCCAAGGCGGCGCUGAGCUGCCUUGCCAUAUAAGAGGUGUGUACACAAUCCCUGCCUCUGAUACAUCCAGGCUGUCAUUCUGGGGGUCGUACAGCCUUCUUCAGCCACGAGUUGCUGGCAUCUUUCGAGCCAGAGGUACCCCUGAUACAGCCCAGCAGGGCAACUCGGAAGCAUCUAACACCUCUAGCCUAUCAAGUGUUUUGGCUGCCUCUGCCGCCUCAUUAACUCAUGUAGGCAGUGCACCUGAGAGGGACUGGGCUGCCCUUCAGCAGAAGUACCUCCUUGAACUGUCUCAUCCUGUUCUGGAGGCUGUGAGAGAGCCCAGGCCAGCUUUCCCCUCCCUUGAAGAAGACUCCACUUCCUUGACCCAAGCUUCUGGCAAAGAAACAGAUACUGUGUUGCCAGUUGGUUUUGGGGUAUCCAGCAGUCUGCAUUUCAGCACCUUUCCUCUCCAUUUUUCCAAAAUUAGGCAUUUGAGAGCAGAGAAAGAACGGGACAGUCUGAGCGCUGAGACAGAAGGUACUUCAGAUUUCCUUACAACUAGAGAGAAAGAGGUGAGUCAUAGUGGCACUUACUCAGCAGAUGUAGAAUCCUUGACUUCUGGAACUAUAAAUGCACCAGUCUUUGUAGCCGAGAACAAGGUGGCAAAUUCCAUGACACAAGCACGUGAAGACAAGCAGAACAGUUUGGAAGAGUCUUUGCAGAGUAAUGGGAAGCCUGGACUGAUGACGUCCUCUGAUGAAUGUUUCUUCCUCAAGAGCCCUUGUCACAGUAAUGCCACCAUAGCCACUAAAGAAAACCAUGGGCCCCGGGGCUGGUCUCCUCUCAGAAAGAAUAGUGCAGGCCAGGAGGGGCACUUAAGUCACAGCAGCUACCUGCCCCUCCAGGAGGAGAAGGUGAACUAUCAGGAGAGCUCCAGGGAAGUGGUUGGAAGGCACACUAGCGUUUCAUUCGCGUCAGGUCCAGAGCCAUACCCCCACUCUGCUGCCUGGAAUCCAUUCCUGUCUUCCUUGAAGCCACCCCCCUUGGAGACAUUCUAUGUGACCAAAAGCCGGGAUGCCCUGACAGAAACUGCCUUAGAGAUUCCGGCUUGCAGAGAAUCAAGAGUGCCUUCCCCACCCCCCAGGGAAGCCUGGGGCUUUGAUCAUGACCACCAGGUUCUCCACAAUGUUUAUGUGAAGAAUAAUUUGCCAGUGCUGUUACAAAACCACAAUUCCAAGAUUCCCUCAUCUCAGCAGGUCACAGCAGGGAGGCCAGUUCAUUUGAACACCAAGGAAGUUAUCAGAAAAAUGGGGAAAUGCCCUGGAAAUACUGAAGAAGAAAGCCAUAAUUCAGUUUAUCUUUUUGUUGAUCAGAACAGACAUUUUCUUUCAUCUAGCACAAAGGUAUGUGAAUUUGAAAAUCAAGUUGGAAUUUUAAAUGAACACAGUCUUUCAGCACUUGAGGAAAAAGAAAAGGCCACAAUACAGUCCUAUUGCAAUGUUUCCUCAAACCAUUGUAGGUCUGGGAGGCCUCUCCUUGUUUGUGAGUCUGAGGCAGAUGGGGAAGAAGAGCAGGAUCACCAUGUAGUCCUAAGACAGACCCAGGCGUUUGAUAUGAACAGACAGCUUCCUUCCGGGGCCAGGUCUGAUUUCAUCUAUAAAACCAUCAAUUUAGCCCUUGACAAGGACAUGCUGGGGGAAACUGCUGUUUCUUUGCAGUCUAAAUCAGUAUGUCAUAGAGUAAGAGGCCCAGAGAUGAUGGCCCAAGAUGAGAGUCCAGCCCACAAGGGUGGGGGGAAAGCAGAGGGGAAGAGUGAAUCUGGGCUUCUUGGGAAAUCUCUCCAUUCCAAAGGCUGCUCAAAAGAGUUUAAGCUUCCACAGACAGAGUCUACAUAUAAAAGAUUCCGGUCAGUUAUAAGCUCUCAGGAAAAAAACCUGAGUGAAUGCAAGGGCUCUGGAAGAUCACAAGAAACGUUAAACCCCAAAGAAGAACCUUCUGGAAGAAAACAGAAUAAAAGAGUUAACAGUGCUGAUGAAAUGGCCAGGCUAAUUAGGAGUGUAAUGAAGCUGGAAAAUGGCAUCUUAGAAAUUGAAUCCAAGCAAAAUAAGCAGCUAUAUGCUCCUCCCACACAGGGAGUCAGUAAGGAGUCUGUGUUCCAGGACCAGAGGGACCGGGAGAUGGCUGACUGUGCCCUGAGGUCAGGCAGCUCUGGAAACCACCUGUCUUUCAAGGAUCAGCCAUAUUCUCCAAAACAGAUAGAUGAUAUUACCUUUAGGGAUAGUGAAGCUGGAGAAAUGGAGGUUAACAAUAGCAUUGGGAAAGGUCCCCAAGUCCGAAAAAUCAUCUUGAGCCCCUUCAAGUUAAGGGAAUGUAUACAAGACAUUAAGUUUAUGACAGAGCACACUCCCCCAGCUGUAUUAGACAGACCAUCCUGGGACACUUGUGAUUGCGUAGGGACAUGUACAGCUGGUAGAGGGUUCGCAGACACUUGCGGUAAUCCAAGAACUGAGGCAUCAGCUAGUGCUCUGCCAUCGCAGCCCAGAUUGAAGAUGUCUUCUGAGAAGGAGAGCAAGGCAGGGAAUGCAUCUGCAUGCCCCAGAGGGCAGCCCUGUAGCUUGGGAGGUCUUGAGGAUCUGGAAACUGUGAAAGAUUUUCAGGAGAGCCAAGUUGCCAAACAUGUAAGUAGUUCUAAGCAAAAGGGGCCAAAAGCUCAAGGCCGGGUUGAGGAAAUGAUUGUGCGAACGGGAGGGAGCCUACUGGAGGAAGACAAAAUGGUCUCAUGGACUCAGAAAGUUCCUAGCCCAAGCCCACAUUGUGUGAGCACAUCUUUUAGCCAGGAGACUGGCCCAUUGCUGAGCCAGCCAGAUUCCUCUGUGGCUCCUCACAGAGACCUGAGUGGUACCUUGCCUUUGGAUUCUGCAAGGCUACCAAGAAACUAUCUUCAUGCAUGUGAUACUGUACACAUUGACUAUGUGCUGGAUCCCACGGUGUUCAAAAUGACUGACAGUCCCUUGGUAACUGGAGCAGGGCGUCAAGACCAGAGUGGAGAGCCCCGAAGCUAUAGCCCUCAGGGAGAUGUUAGAGGGGGCUUUUCCUUGGCACACACUGCUUGGUGUGAGUCUGUGAUAGCUACGGCCAUGGCAUCUCAUGGUCAGUUCCAUGUACCAGAGAGCAUUUCCCUGGGGGCAGAGAGCAGGAGAUCAGCAAGCACUCAAGAUGAAGGAGGGGACCUCAGAAGCAUCGUGAUGGGCUUGAGUCCCAGGAAGAGUUUUGCUUCUGAAGCUGAGGCAGCUGUGCAAAGAGGAUCAGAAAGAGCCAGGGGAUUUAGCCCACUUGAAAAGACCAGCUGCCUCUUAGAAGAGGGUAACAGUCAAGGCCAGCAGGCUAAGCAGAAGGCAGAGAAGGAAGCCAAGGACCUCAGUCCUGCUGGUGGUGGUUUCUCAGCACCUGUGUCCCUGCCGAGGGUGUGUCACCCAGAGCACUGUGCUCAUACAUCUACGGACCUGGCUGUGUUAGAGGAGAUCAGACAAGCAAAGGCCCAGGGAAAGCAGCUUCAUGGCUUAGGGGCUGAUGGCAAUGUUCUUCCUUACUAUGUGACUUUAUUAGAACCUGAACAUUCUUCAGGGGCCCGUGGUAGGCCUCAAUGUCCUCAAAGGGACCAGUUGGUGUCAGAUAGGACCAGGAAUGAGGAUGAAGCACAAGGAUUUUAUGUGACAUCUCUCUCUGCUGAACCAGGACAUCUGUCGACUGACAAGGCCACACCCCUCCCUGCAGACAGCUUUCAACAUCUGCCCAACACUGAAACUAAAACAGGGCCACGGCAUCCCUCACAAACUUCCUCCCAUGCAGCCCCUGUUCCAGGCAAAAGCCAUUGUACUGGAGAACGGAGACAUUUUCUGGGAGCUGGUGAACAGUUUGUAUGUCACUGUAGCUCUUCUGAAAUCAGAGAGAAAAAGAAAAAAGCAACCAGAACACCUUCCUCUGCGGAUCCUGUGAGCUCAGACAGUUUUCCUUCCACACUGGUAGUAGACAGGAGGGUAAGGUCAGAGAAAGCAGUGGCUGCCUUAUCUUCUUGGGCCCCUUCUGGUGAUCCUGGCAUGAUUCUGUGUGGGGGAAGCCAGUUAGCUCAAUGGGAGACUGCAGAAGGCACACGCCCUGGUGGUCAGGAGACCAACCCAGUGCAUCACGAACCUAGAAUUCUAGAUACCACUUGUGGUGGAGGUUCAGGUAAUUUCUCAGUGGCUGCACAGGGAGGAAAAACAACCUGUUCUGAAAGUGGGCUUGUGAUCUGUGAUGUUCAGAAUUCUGUCAGCCUCUCAGGACGUACCCAAGACCAUGGCCGGUGCUUUGAGGCUUCCAUUGGCUUAGAGGAAGGGGGGGCAAGUCCCAAACAGGGUACCAUCCUGCCUGGAGCCCCAAGAAGGGCUGAUACAGAAGCUCCUUCACAGCACCAUGUGAAGUGGGAGGAGAGCGAUGACUGUGGGCUGGCAGAAGCCUGCAGCCCAGCAAACAGUGCCAGCAGCAAACAUCCUAGAUCGACUCCAUUGCCAGAUCAAAGACCUAGCCCUGAUUCUGAAGUUCAGGAAGAGUCCCAGUGCAGACAUCCACAGGAAACUUUAGACCGUGUCGUCAUCUCAGGGAGCAUGGAAGGCAGCAGGGCUCUUAGUCCACCUAGGGGGCAGGAAGACAGUGGAACAUCACCUUGCUGGCAUGUUUGCAAUCCUCAACCCAUGGAUUCUCGUGCCUGUGCAUCCCCGUCCUAUACUUUAUCGUGUUACAGAGACGGUGACCUGAGGAAGAGGAGUGCCAAGACUGCCCUACAUACUCUCCAGCCACCCUGCAUAGUAUCUUCCAGAGCCUGUGGAAUGGAUGAGACAGCAGAAAGCUAUUCCAGGGCACCUGAAGUGCUCUGGACUCCUGGCCUUGAGCCCAAAGGCAUUCGUGUAGUAUUUGCACCAGCAGACAUCAGUUCUUGGGAGCCUUCCGCUUCCGCUCCUGUCCUAUCUCUGGCUCAAGAGGGCAGCUCCCCUUCUGCCCCUGAUGUGAUGACAUGUUCCUUGAGCCACUCCGUGGCUCAUGGAAGCUCAAGGUCAGGAGAGGAUCCUGAGAAAAAGGUUGCUGAGAAGAAAGCCAGCCUAGAGCCUGAGGCUACCGUUUCCUCUGCAGACAUGUACUCUGAGCCACUGAGGGAAUUUCAGGAUAGCUCUGUAUGUGGCCAGAAUGCACAGGACUCUCAAACCAAGCCAGAACCACCUUUAACAACUGGGAGGCCAUACACCCUGAAUUUAAGUGAAGGGUCUAUUGAGAGUGAGCUUCUGGGGGAACCUCAGCAUGGAUGUUUAGAAGAUGCCAUCCAGUGCCUUCCAGAAAAACCACAACUUUCCACUGAGUCCAGAGAUCACAGUGGAUUGGAUCCCCAAGCCAGGUUUGUAGCAAAGUUAAAACACAUUUCUAGGCACCAAGCUGACAGUCCCUGGGAUGAGGAAGAGCAGCAGAGACACCAGGCUUCGGGUGGUCGGGAAGAGCCUGCCCAGGGCAGGAGCUCCCAACCUUCCCGUGAAGGUGGGUUGGACAGCUGUCGAAUUAUAGAUGCAGGCAGAGAGGAAGCAUCUGUAGCCCAUCUCUCUGUGUCCAAGAUGCUUUCAUCAGGCUUUGAAGACUCAGCCUCCGUGCCUUUGGGGCAGAGUGGAGCCCCAUGGCCCACACCCCAGAGCCCUGGCCUGCCUGCCUCUGGCAGGGAGCAGCCGGCUCCCCAUCAUGAGUGCUCACUUCCUGUGAUUUCAGUCUUUUCUGGCCCCAAACACUCCAGGUCCUCCCCCAGACCACAGUUCUCUGUGGUCAGCUCUUCCCGGUCUCUUCAGGAGCUGAAUUUGAGUGUGGAGCCUCCUUCCCCCACAGAUGAAGAUACACAGGAGCCUAACAGAUGGUGGACUCCACAUCCCAGGGGUUAUUUCAAAGGAAAGUCAGCAGCAGGAACAUCUCUGAAAGCUGAGGGCUGCAGUCAGAAAGCCUCAUCUAACUGGGACAUGAGCACUGCUGGUCAUCAGCCCCCACAACCUACCAACCCUCCUUACCCAAAGUCCUCAGAUCUUUCUUGCAUGCCAAUCCCUGACUUCAUGACAGGCUGGACAUCUAGUACCCUGGAAGAGUCUUGGCAGGAAAAUCCAGAGAAGUGGCACUCUAGGGUAGACAAAGGAACGUUACACUUUGGCUCCAGGGACAUCAAUCCCUACAUCCUCUCCUCACGUCCAGAGGGUCCUGUGCACGUUGGCUGGAAGCAAUAUGUGUUUGGCAGUGCCGCGGAUGUCUCUUGUACCCAGGGCCUGAUACCAUCAAACAUGGCCCGUUGUUCAAGCAUGGACGAUGGCCUGGAAGACCAGAACUCUCCGCUCCACUCCCACCUCAGCACCUAUGCCAAUGGCCGGGACCUGGGAAGCACACAGAGCAGCAUUAGAAAUGCCCAAGGUUCACAUGAGGCCUGGGAAGUAUGGGGCUCCUCAUUUGCCUUGGGGAGCCCCCACAUCCUGAACACCCCUGAAGGAAAAAUCCCCAGUAAGGGUCCUGACAAGACAGCCCAGACCCUGGGCACUCCUGAUGAAGCAGGCUGUCUGAGGAGUAGGCCCCUGUUGGCAGAAGAAAAUGCUGCAGGUCCAGUAGAUGAGAUUAUGCUUCUGUAUCCAUCAGAGGCAUGUGGCCCUGUGGGGCAGUCCAGGAUGAGCACCUUGGAGCAGGGCACACAGACCCUGGGCUGCAGUGUCUGCUGGAGCUCCACUGACAUCUCUGCUCAGCCAGAAACAAGUGCAGUGCCAGGCUCUGGUCUGGUCUCCUGGACUAGCAUGCACAACCUGUCUCUCCACCUCUCACAGCUGCUACACAGCACCUCGGAGCUGUUAGGGAGUUUCUCCCAGCCAAGUGUGGCUGAAAAGGAGCGGAACGUCAAGAGGGAGUCCCCAGAUGAGAUGACCCAGGCCCUAAUGAUGGACUGCUGUACUCAGACCACCAUGGAUGAGGGCAUCCAAACUGAACUGGCCUUACCACCUCUGCACCUUCCAACCCCAGAGGUCAACCCUCAGGAGGUCAAUGUGGUCCUUGAAGUGCUGGGCUCAGAUAUCCCCAUCAUGUCUCAAAAAAAGGGACAUGUCACAGGGACCCUUCAGAGGAGAGAGUCAGAGGAAACUGCAUGGAAAAUGGCAGGGCCCUCAGAAUCUCAGGAAGAAAGCCCCCACUUCAGGCCCCAGAGCUUUCCAGCACCCGCAUACCACUCGAGGCUUCAGAAAGCCCACUUUGGGCAGAACCUCCCUUCUGUGAUCCCUCAGGCUUCCCUUAAUGCCUCCCUGCCUCCCAGCGUCCAGGCAGAGGAGCCCUCCUGCCUGGCUGUCAACAGCCCCAGCCUCAAAGGCUCCCACUCCCCAGGGCCCUGCCCCAGUCCUGCAGAGUCCAUGGGGAAUCCUAAGGUCCAGAAGGAGCUGGGCACCGUGGGUACCUUGUUGGUAGACAGGGCCUCCUCCCCAAUACUCACGCUUAGUGUCAGCACCCAAGGAUUGGGGAUCUCCCCAGAUUCUUUGUCUCUCACAGCCCCCUCAGCUUGUCCUCUUGAAGGCCGUCAGAAUUUUGUCUCCAGUCCAGACCGUUUCCUUGAUUCCCCCAGGCCUCCAGUGGAUAUUUAUUCUCAAAUUGUUAAUGAGUCCGGUGACUCCCAAAGAGUGGGGGCUCCAUGUGGGGAAGGUGGAAGUCCCUUAGAAAGGAGUGAUGGCAGUUCGCUCCUUGAGGUGAGGUCCCCGGUCAGUCCACCACAGAGCCCAAAACUCCAAGUCUGUUUCAUAGAGCAGCCCCCUCAGCAGCUUCAGCCCAAGACCACCACCUUGGUCCAAAGCAGACUACCACCACCCUCACUGAGGAGCCAGAGUCCGAGUCUGGCUGAUGACUUUGUGCCUGAGGACGUGGCUUCCUUGGAGUGUGGCUCGCUGAGCAGUAGGGAGCCAAGUGAAUGGCGGAGCAAGACAGAAAAUGAGGGUGAGCCACAACCCACUCUGGACUUUUCCUCUUCAAGAGGAGGCCUUCAUCACCUCAGACCCUGCCCUGUCUCUGAGUUGACUGCUACUGCAGGGCUCCAGGGUCCCACUUUGAGCCCUACCUGCCAAUCUGAGGUGCUCCUGAGCUCCAGUUCCCAGGUAUGCAUGGCCGCUGAGCCCCAGCAUCACGGCCUGAGGGACUCCUCAGUGCAUAACAAAGUCAGUCAUUGGAGCGGGGUUCAGGAUGGCUCUCCUGGGGGGCUAGGUGUGGAGUCACUGGGAACCAGGUGUGAUCUUAGCUCUGGAAAACAGGGACAGAAGCCCCUACAAUCUCCUGACAACCAGAGCCAGGAUCCUGAGUGGUCCCAGAGGGAGCAGAUCCCCUUGCAGAUUGGGGCCCAGAACCUCUCACUCAGCACAGAGCUCACAGAAGCGAAGUUGCACCACGGCUUUGGGGAGGCCGAUGCCCUGCUGCAGGUGCUGCAAAGUGGGACAGGGGAGGCACUUGCUGCUGAGGAGCCUCUGCAGUCCACCUGGGAGGAGCUCUUUGCCCGGCAAAAACAAACCAUUGAGGCCCUCCGGAGAGAGCGAGCUGAACGACUUCAGAACUUACACCAGACACGGAACCUCAGCCCCCAGAAACAACUGAGCCUCCUGCCCAACAGGGAUCUCCCCACCCGGGACCUCGGCCUACCCAGCAGGCGCCGAGAAUACCUGCAGCAGCUGAGGAAGGAUGUUGUGGAAACUACCAGGAGCCCAGGGUCGGCAUCACGGUCUGCUCACCCUGCCUCAGACAUAGCGCUGAUGCUGCAAGAAUACCAGCGCGCCCGCGAGGAGGCCAAGGUGGAGAUUGCCCGGGCCCGGACCCGGCUGCAGGAGCGGACCGAGCAGGAGAAGCUGAGAAUCCGCCAGCAGAUCAUCUCCCAGCUACUGAGGGAAGAAGAAAAGCUGCACACACUGGCUGCCUCCAGCUCCCUGUCUGCCAGCUCCAAUGGAAGCCUCUCCUCUGGUCUUACCUCUGGCUACAACAGCAGCAACGCCUUAUUGUCGGACCAGCUCCAGUCCCCAGACAGUGUGGGGGACACACACUUGCCUGAUUCCAGUGACUCCUGGAUAGGGGAUGUUCGGGGACAUUCUGCAGUGAGGAACAGUCAACUGAGUCUGGCUGGAUCCACCUGGAAGAGCUUAGCUUACAGCCGCAGAACCUCCCUGGGCAGCUGCUGCUGCUGUCCGUCCAGCCUGUCCAGCCUGGGGGCCUACCUGUCCUCCUCCUAUCAAGAUUUGGCCAAGCACAUCGUGGACAUCUCUAUUGCUGACGUAAUGGCUGCUUGCUCAGGUAACCUGCACAACCUCUUCAGCUGCCAGCCAGCAGCUGGCUGGAACCAUCAGGGUGAGGAGCAGGAGGUGCAUCUAUACUACAAGAUGUUUUCUUCUACUCGGCAUGGCUUCCUGGGGGCAGGCGUGGUUUCCCAGCCACUGUCUCAUGUGUGGGCAGCUGUGAGUGACCCCACCCUGUGGCCGCUCUACCACAAGCCCAUCCAGACAGCGAGGCUGCAUCAGCGGGUGACCAACAGCAUCAACCUUGUGUACUUGGUGUGCAGUACUGCCCUGUGUGCCCUGAAGCAGCCGCGGGAUUUCUGUUGUGUCUGCGUGGAAGCUAAAGAGGUGCCUGCCUCGCUGGUGGGGCACCUGUCUGUCAUGGCGGCUCAGUCUGUUUAUGAUACAUCCAUGCCGAGACCCAGCAGAGACAUGGUCCGAGGGGAGAUCCUGCCCAGUGCCUGGAUCCUACAGCCUCUCACCGUGGAAGGAAGGGACAUCACUAGAGUCAUCUACUUGGCCCAGGUAGAACUUGGUGCACCGGGCUUCCCCCCUCAGCUCCUAAGCUCCUUCAUCAAACAGCAGCCACUGGUUAUAGCCAGACUGGCUUCCUUCCUUGGGAGUUAGCAUCUUACUGUCAAGAUGGUGCUGCAGAGACGCAGGUGCAGGACGUGCCCGUGAUGCCAGGUGGCUCUUGUCAUUCUCUGUACAGGAUGCAAGGACAGGCGAGGCUCCUGGUUGUGGCUGACCAGGCUGACCAGCACUCAGACCUGAGUUGCCAGCAAAGUCCCGUCAAUACUUGGGUCACAGCUGGUGCCUCUGCAGAGCGAGGGGACCUGAGUUCCUGGCCCCAGGUGGCCAGCAUCAGUGAAGCUCAACUCACCUUUUUGGAUUCCUCAACCUCUCUUUCCUCUCCGGGACAUCAUGGCAGACCGCUUGAAGACCAGGACUGGGCGUAGCCAGCAGAGCCAGGAGAGGGCAGUACUCUGGCCCAGCCCUCAGCCAGGGAGGGAAGCAAGCAGCCAUUGACCGGGACUGUUCAGAAUCCGUCUCCAGCAUUCAGCUCCACUGCGGACUGCAGUAUUGGAAAGUGCCAAACCAGAAAAACAGUUUAAAAAAGCAACUGCACAAACCAUUCGGAAUCGUUUCUCCUUGCAUUUUUACAAAAUGCUUUAUUAUUAAUUUUUACUUUUUCCUCUUCGUUUCCUUCACAGGAGAGGACAUUUGGGUCUUUGUCUCAGUCAGGAGCAUUGAGCAAUGCUCAGUCUUGGAGCCGUCACUCCAGAGCUCAGGAGAAUGGGAAAGACCACUGUAGAAGCAGGUUGGACAGAUUUGAGGCCAAGGAGGGGAACCUAGCCCUUUGAGGAGGGAUGGGGGUGGGCAGCCCAAUGUUGGCUGCUGACAGGGCAAGAGGAAUUUCAAAGAGCUGAAAAGUUGUUUAUUGAAGACUGGAGAGAAGAUAUGAGAACUCUUAGAGGAGGUAAGUGAUUCAUUAGGAGGAAACUCAGUUCUGUUCCUUCCCUCACUCAGAGCCUUGGUGCCAGCCUUCAGUGGUCCCCUGAGCGUCCGUGCUGCUGUGGUCAGACAUGCUAUUCUAAGGAGGGGAUGGGGAAUGGGCUCGGUUUUCUUGUACCUUAGCCUGCCUAAACUUGAACUUCGAGUAUUCAGUACGAUUACGUGGAAGUGGUGGGGUGGGAGAGAUUCCCAGCUUCCAUUCUGGUGCCCACAAUCUUUGGCGGAAGAGGGUGACCAUAUGGGGAUUGAAAAGGUCAGUUUCUGUACAGUAUAGCACAGAGAUUUAUUGUUUCUCAAAGUGUUUGCAGGAUUGUUUUUCUUUUACCUCAGAUUGUUACUCAUAUAUGAUUGGUUGAAGACUUUUUAAAUUGCUUUUAAAUGUAUUUUUCUGGCUAAUUUUUUUGGUAUAUUUAACACCCUAUUUAUGUACUCCCAUCUCUUUUUCAUAUAAAUCUCUUAAGUCCAUUGAUUGAAAAAGUCAGAACACUUGCAAAUUAAAGGUCCAUGGUGUCCUUUCAUUUAGUGAAGACUGUGGUGUCCCUUGAGCUCAGACUUUAGUCUGGAGAUUACGAUGGCAGCAACAGCUCACGGCCCAGUUUCAAGCUAUACAGUUCACACGAAUGUACUGAGUUCUUUCCAUGAGCUCAGCACGACUUUGUGUGUGAACAGCCCUGUCAGUUACCCAACUACAGCCAGCUGUAGCCAGAUACGAACAUGAGAGAAGAUUCCAGAUCAGUUAUUGCCACACACCAGUGACCAUGAUCCCCUGGAAGGAAGCUCUUUAACAACAGGAACUACACACGGACACACAGAAUUUUGUGAGACGCUUCAGGAGGGUUCCCUGAGUACCCUCUCCUUCCUCCAACACAGCCUGAAUCUGUGUGCACUGCCAAUGUAGAAAAGGAAUGAAUUUUAUAGGAGUGAACUUCAUGCACAUUAUCAAGGUAGCGCUUUUUAGUCCAAACUUAGAGACACACAGAAUGCUUUUGUUCUGAGCCAAAUGCAACACCCCCAGCCCUAACAAACCAGCACAAGGGUUGCUCUGCCCUGUCAGUGCCCACCUUCAAGCCCACCUGAGACUACGGCCUUCUCAAGGGAAGAGCCAGGUGAAAAUAACUAGACAUGAAGCCCUUGAUAAAGAAAAUGGUUUAUUUUAAAAAGCUCUAAUGUACUGCCCUGUGUGUAGCCCCUGUAUGGAGUUACGGUUAAGAGUUAGUACCUGCACAGGGCUGAAGGCAGAGAAGGGGUAAAAGCUGGGCUUCUGGCAGGUCAGCCCCACCUCACGUACUGUGCAUUUUUAAGGAGAUGGCAGGCAGCCUAGCUCCUGGUGGUAAGAAAACGUCCACUCCCCAAGAUUCAUGUUUUAACUUUACUCACGAGUUAAGCAGAAGCCAUUUGCCUCUGUCAUGAUUUCCAAACCACAGAGUUUUAAGGGAUGCUGGGGUAGCAGCAAAUAGGGCUCGAGUCCUGUGUCGUCAAGCCCACACACGUCAUUUAAUAAUCCAAAUAAUAAAUGCCAACUCUUCUGCUCCAGGACUGGAGUCUGUCUCUAGGCUUUCCCAUCACAAUCCUGAAUCUGGUGAACCCUCCUCCUUCCUCUAGGACGCGGGCGGUGAGCCUGCAGUCAGCGUCAGUGGGAUGCCGGCAGCCACACGCUUCCUUCACAUGUGAGCAGGAAGCCUGACUUACAGACUUAGCUGCUCCCGCGUCAGCAAGGGUCAGCGAGGCCUCCCACUUUCUGCCAGUCCACUUUUGAAGAACCUGGUCAGCCACUCCCCUGUCCUGGACCUUACCUGUGAUGUUGGCUGACAACCAGGCACAGGCCUUCUCUGUCGCAAGCCCCACAGCAAUGUUCUCUGCGCUGCUUAGAACCUGUGACCCAGAAGAACUGCAGCGUCAGGGGCCAGGGGAGGCUCAGGGAUGAGAAUGAACAACAGCUCAGGUGCCCCCAAGGCCGGGACCAACCCUCGGACCCAUCCACGACCUUCAUGCACAUGUGACCUGCAGCGCAACUCUCCCACCACCAAACAGCAGCCCGCGGGCUCCAGGCCUCCUCCCUACUUACAGCUGCCGGGGUCUCCUCGGGAAGCAGUGCCCGUACUGCCCCAGGGCUCUUCUUCUGACAGAACCUGAAAGGAGACAGAGUCUGUGAUGGCUAGAGGUUUUGGCCUGGCUCACAGAAAGAAAGGCCAAGUGCACCAAUCAGCUGAGCCAGGAGGGCUCUGCCUUGGGGAGAGGUGGGCAGGGGGUUAAGAGAAGCACUGUCAGCCCUGGGCCCACCCCUGAUCCCUGACGCUGGGAGGAAUGGGACACCCAACCCCCCAUUCUUCCAACUCAACUUUAGACUUUGGGUCCUAAAGCCUAAGAUAUGUACCUACAUAGGAAGUGAAAGAAAAAGGGGGUUUCAGAGAGGACAUGGAAUAAAAAGAGAUGAGUUUGUGAAAAAGAAAAAG